rnacentral:sRNA from 1 species
GCUGGGCAAGGUGGCCCAUGCCUGUAAUCCCAGCAGCUGAGAAGCUGAGACAAGAGGAUUCAAGUUCAAAGCCAACCUCAGCAACUUAAUGAAGCCCUGUCUCAA